GAUGAACGCUGGCGGCGUGCCUAAUACAUGCAAGUCGAACGAAACUUCUUUAUCACCGAGUGCUUGCACUCACCGAUAAAGAGUUGAGUGGCGAACGGGUGAGUAACCCGUGGGCAACCUGCCCAAAAGGGGGGGAUAACACUUGGAAACAGGUGCUAAUACCGCAUAACCAUAGUUACCGCAUGGUAACUAUGUAAAAGGUGGCUAUACUACCGCUUUUGGAUGGGCCCGCGGCGCAUUAGCUAGUUGGUAGGGUAAAGGCUUACCAAGGCAAUGAUGCGUAGCCGAAUUGAAAGGUUGAUUGGCCACAUUGGGACUGAGACACGGCCCAAACUCCUACGGUAGGCAGCAGUAGGGAAUCCUCCGCAAUGGGCGAAAGCCUGAUGGAGCAACGCCGCGUGGGUGAAGAAGGUCUUCGGAUCGUAAAACCCUGUUGUUAGAGAAGAAAGUGCGUGAGAGUAACUGUUCACGUUUCGACGGUAUCUAACCAGAAAGCCACUGCUAACUACGUG
rnacentral:rRNA from 1 species